GAUGAACGCUGGCGGCGUGCCUAAUACAUGCAAGUCGAGCGAACGGACGAGAAGCUUGCUUCUCUGAUGUUAGCGGCGGACGGGUGAGUAACACGUGGAUAACCUACCUAUAAGACUGGGAUAACUUCGGGAAACCGGAGCUAAUACCGGAUAAUAUUUUGAACCGCAUGGUUCAAAAGUGAAAGACGGUCUUGCUGUCACUUAUAGAUGGAUCCGCGCUGCAUUAGCUAGUUGGUAAGGUAACGGCUUACCAAGGCAACGAUGCAUAGCCGACCUGAGAGGGUGAUCGGCCACACUGGAACUGAGACACGGUCCAGACUCCUACGGGAGGCAGCAGUAGGGAAUCUUCCGCAAUGGGCGAAAGCCUGACGGAGCAACGCCGCGUGACUGAUGAAGGUCUUCGGAUCGUAAAACUCUGUUAUUAGGGAAGAACAUAUGUGUAAGUAACUGUGCACAUCUUGACGGUACCUAAUCAGAAAGCCACGGCUAACUACGUG
rnacentral:rRNA from 1 species